AAAUUGAAGAGUUUGAUCAUGGCUCAGAUUGAACGCUGGCGGCAGGCCUAACACAUGCAAGUCGAACGGUAACAGGAAACAGCUUGCUGUUUCGCUGACGAGUGGCGGACGGGUGAGUAAUGUCUGGGAAACUGCCUGAUGGAGGGGGAUAACUACUGGAAACGGUAGCUAAUACCGCAUAAUGUCGCAAGACUAAAGAGGGGGACCUUCGGGCCUCUUGCCAUCGGAUGUGCCCAGAUGGGAUUAGCUAGUAGGUGGGGUAACGGCUCACCUAGGCGACGAUCCCUAGCUGG
rnacentral:rRNA from 1 species